rnacentral:rRNA from 1 species
UACGUAGGGGGGCAAGCGUUGUCCGGAUUUAUUGGGCGUAAAGAGCGUGUAGGCGGCCAGAUAGGUCAGCUGUGAAAACUCGAGGCUCAACCUCGAGACGUCGGUUGAAACCAUCUGGCUAGAGUCCGGAAGAGGAGAGUGGAAUUCCCGGGUGUAGCGGUGAAAUGCGCAGAUAUCGGGAAGAACACCCGUGGCGAAGGCGGCUCUCUGGGACGGUACUGACGCUGAGACGCGAAAAGCGUGGGGGAGGCGAAACAGGA